UACGUAGGAGGCGAGCGUUGUCCGGAAUUACUGGGCGUAAAGCGCACGUAGGCGGCUUUGUAAGUUAGAGGUGAAAGCCCGGGGCUCAACUCCGGAAUUGCCUUUAAGACUGCAUCGCUCGAAUUGUGGAGAGGUAAGUGGAAUUCCGAGUGUAGAGGUGAAAUUCGUAGAUAUUCGGAAGAACACCAGUGGCGAAGGCGACUUACUGGACACAUAUUGACGCUGAGGUGCGAAAGCGUGGGGAGCAAACAGG
rnacentral:rRNA from 1 species